UACGUAGGGUGCGAGCGUUAAUCGGAAUUACUGGGCGUAAAGCGUGCGCAGGCGGUUCGUUAAGUUCGAUGUGAAAGCCCCGGGCUCAACCUGGGAAUGGCAUUGAAAACUGGCGGGCUUGAGUCUGGCAGAGGGGGGUGGAAUUCCGCGUGUAGCAGUGAAAUGCGUAGAGAUGCGGAGGAACACCGAUGGCGAAGGCAGCCCCCUGGGCCAAGACUGACGCUCAGGCACGAAAGCGUGGGGAGCAAACAGG
rnacentral:rRNA from 1 species